AUGCCAUUUGGUUCUGCUGCAAAACUGAACCUAGUUCUGCAGCUGUUCAGUUAUAGUGGCAAGAGCAAAGGCCAUUGUACGAGCCUUGAGACCACCCUAUGGUUUUCAAGGUCCCUGAAGAUGGCUACAUGU